rnacentral:lncRNA from 1 species
AAUAAAGUGGAAAAAGGGAAUGGAUGUGUGUUUGUGAAUUGAUUAAAUGAACAGGGACUUUGGGCUUAUCUCGUUAUUAUUGAUUGCCCCAUCACAGGCUGGAAAUGUGAUAUUAUCGAUUGCCCCAUCACAGGCUGGAAAUGUGAUACCAUUGAUUGCCCCGUCACAGGCCGGAAAUGUGAUACUAUCGAUUGCCCCGUCACGGGCCGGAAACGUGACCGGGAUGUAGCCCAAAGUCGAAAAGAUAAUUGAUCCGGAUCAAGUUAAUAGAGAAUGAAAAGAAAGAGCAUUGAAAACAGUAAUGAAGAUUUAUGAGCUAUCAUAUGCUAUAUCAUUCUUGUGUGGCUGGACUUUCAUUGAUGUUUUACGUACAUAUUUAUAUUGACUAUUUGAGCUUGUUGAUAGCCGGUUUAUGAUUUUAUGACAUGUGCAUUAAUUUCUUG